UGAAAGAAAAUUGUGGUGGUGGUCCGGGUAAUAAACUAAAAAUAAAGUCAAUUAUUUCGCAAUUAAGUGCAGUUGACUCUCUGCGGUGCCAGCAAAUUGAGAAUUGAGAAUGCGAGUGGCGCCCAUGUGGGUGGUUUCGGUGGGUUCAAUUGGCGCGGCCAGCUAAUCAGCUUUGAGAAAAAUGUGUGAAAUAAAAAACUGGUCUUAUUUAAAGUGCCGUAAUUAAUCUCUGUUGUUCGCGUUCAAUAGCCGACGAACCUUAUCUAUGCGCAGUAGAAAAAGAAACCACAGAGAUAUCGGAAUACUGCUACUAUAUUAUUAAUUGCUGUAAACUCUGGCGGCCACUGAAUAAACAAAGGAAAUGCAUUGCCCAUACGCCCUGUAGUGCGUCAUAAUUUUGGACGCAAAUGCGCGGCCAUUCGUGUUACAUCUGUUUAUUUGUCAUUUCAAUUCGACCGCAAAACGAACGCUUUUUGCAGCCAAGUGGGCGAUACUGCAAUACUGCUAGCUGGCUAACUGCACACUGAAUGGUUAAGGGGCCGCAAACGAGUUUGCAGCUCUCUUUGGUUUGGUGAAGAAUGAAAAGCCCGCGGGAUGUUAUGCUUGUAAAUAAACUUGUUUGGUGCUAAAAACUGCUAGUAAUUACAAUCGAAUUUCCGCCUACCAGCGAGCUGGCCAGUUAGUUGGCUUAACUAUGUCAACCCGAUAAGAUUUGCAUUUCCAUCACAAAGAGACUGAACCGGAGAGGACUGACUCCUCGUCGUCGUCUCGCCUGUCAGUCAAUUGUGUAUGCUGACACUUUGUGCGGCUGGGUUUGCUGCAUGGGUAAAUUGGCAAAUCCGUACAUGGUUUGCUGCACACGUGGCGUAUGCGUAAUGCGAUCGGCGCUGGCUGCAUGUUAAUGCGUUGGCAAACAGCAUUAACGAUAAAUACGCGCCAAGAACCGGGCAGACAUGACCAUAGACAACACCGCAAAUACCCAAAACCCUCUCCAAUUAAAUGCUUUUCAAUUGACGCUGCAGUAAUUUGGCUGAUUUGGUAGUGCGUUGCCAAAAGCGACGCAUUUAAUUGCCGCCUAUUUGGUGGCAAGUUGGCAAGUUGAGCUGGUUUAGAGCCAAAAUGCGGUGGUAAUAUUCUCAUCAUUAUAUUUCCAGUUAAGUGUGCCUGCAGCGGAAAUGAAAACCUCUUCGAAUAAUGACGAAAGCCCACGGAAUUGAUAAGCGCAAAUAGAAGUGGAGUAAGCGCUCAAGAAUGCUUUACGUUGAGUCAACAAAAAAAAGGGAAAUGAUAAAUGCGAUUAUGAUGCGCACAAUGAAAAGUUUCGCCCACAAAGAUUCCUUUCUGAUUGGCCAUUGUUCUUGUUCAAUUCUCAAGUAAGUUCUCAACAAACUUAUUCAAAGCAUUCGGCUUAUCGGUUUCGGCUCUGGCCAAGAAAAGCAGAAAGAAAAGGAGAACAGAAGUCACUUGCCACAAAACAAUUAGCUGAGUAGUAAGACAAAGUCGCAGUCAUUGGCAUUUUCCGAUACGGCUGCUAAAGUGCAAAGCCCCACGGUCGGCUGCCAGUAUAUAUGUACAUAUGGGUAAUGCCCGUAAAACCCCGGUAAACAACCGAAUGGCGCCAAUGGGGGCGUGGCCAGACAACCGUAGCCGUAACCGGAAUAAAAACACAUGCACACGCACAGAGCAAUUCAUUCAUGGAACUCUUUUGGCCAGAUUGUGCCGCUCUCGUUGUUCACGCUUCAUUUGGCUAUUAUUUUUUACCACGCUUCAUUUGCCGAUUUGUCUGUGCCGCUUUUGGGCUUUUGGGGGCAGGGAGUGCUAAUUAACAGUUGGUCCCAAAUCGCAUACAUUAACGCUGAUAUAUUUAUUGCCAUAAUUGUGCGGUGCCUGGCCAUACUUAUAUAUAGAUUAUGGGCAUUUGACUAUGAGCCUCGAUUGCCUCACUUCGGCAAAAGAUAUAUAAAUAAAACUGGCCCCAGCGAGAAGUAAUGGGUAAACAAUUCGAGCAUUGUGUUUGCUUUGGAAUUAGCGAAGUGCAAAUUUUCUUGGCACCGAUUGCACAAUGCUCCGAGUUAGAGCAGCGUUUGGAUAUUUUACCGAAAUUGCGGCCAGAUUUUAAUGGUGAUUGCUGGAUAUAUCAGGACAUAUCCUGCGGUCAGGACACAGUGGCUAGGUAAUGAACACAAAUUUUCCAAGCAUGCAGAGAAGAACUACAUUUGGGGGGAAAUGGCAGGGGCAAUAAAACAAAGCAAUUAAAAUGGCCUCCCGGAACUGGCAGACGUAUAUGGGUCAGGCUGGCAAAAGUUUCGGCCACUUGUCGGCCAACUCGAGCAGUGAAUGGCCAAUACACAAUGCCAAUCGGCAAACUGAAGUGGCAGCUCGGCUAAUGCAACCGGGGAUGGGAGGUGUGUGUUUCAGCACUCUAAACUUUCGGUUUAGUGCACACAAAGGGGGGUUUUUACCCAAACUGCACAGGGCUGACAGGCUCUUUUUCUCCACUUAAACCCCGUUCAAAAUGGCACACUGCUAGCUAUAUUGUUAAUAUGCAGCAAAUGGGCGGAAGAUCUCAGCAGAAUGAGUCAGCGCAGCGCUGUUUACGUAAGGAUUUCUCCGGUUUACUGUCAACAUUUUCUCCUUCCUCGUUUGUUGUUUGGUACUUAUUCAGACGCCGACUGGAGCCGUAAAUUAAACAACAUUUCUGUCACUUGACUUCGGUAUUCAUUCAUUAAUCAGGCCUUACCCUGUCUAUAGAAAUUGAAAUUGUCGCUGCUACACAAUAAAGCUAAAUGGAAAUUCAAGGGAUAGCAAGUUGGACACUUUACCCCGGGAGGAUGGUGUGUGGCUGAGUGGGCGAGACCACCCACACGCACACACACACAGAUGGCAAACACUUUCCAUUGCGUAAAUUGCCUGGGCGCCCAUCGAAACGUGCCAUUUGAGCUCUGCCAUCGAUGAUAAAUGUUUGCUGCAUGUUGCACAAGCCUUUGCAGUCGGCUAUCAACGAUGGACUCUGAGAUAUGUGCAGAGUGGGUGGGGCAUGCUACAAUGCAGCCCAUUAAAAGCCAACACCCUUUAAAGCCAAAACGCAUUCGGUUCCUAACUUCCACUGGCGGAAGAGAACCAUAAAAGUGGCUUACAUAUUGUGCCACAUCUAAUAUUGAAGUCAUAUUUCAUGGCAAUUUGAACUUUCCUUCCGAAAACAAGUAAUAAAUAUAAAACAAUAUGUUUUGCUUGCUAUAACACAGUUCAUUUUGUAAGCUCGCCGUUUAGUUUAACAAUUUAAUUUUCCAACUUAAAUUCGAAAGCAUUCGAAUUCGCUACAGGUGAAAGGUUAAGUUGCUGAUCAUAAUAAAUGAAGUUGGUAAAAGUUGUACUGCACAACAGUAUGCAAGCAACAAUAUGAGUCAUCAUCAUUCAUCAUAAGGCAGUUAAAGUGCCCUAAUGGUUUUUCUCUAUUCCCAUGCCGGGGCGCCAAACGAAUUAAGCAAAUAGCUGAAUUUAUGAAUAUUUAGCUAAAGCUCUAAAUAAACCCGCAUUACGAGCAUUUUCGCUUUCACCUCACGCCUCCUGUGGCAGACACGAAAUCCCUGACCUUUGCGGCUGCCUGCUGCCUGCUGGCUCCUCUCAUCCUGCCACUCCCUCUCUCCUCUACCGUCCCGAGUUAAUUACAGCCCGCGAUCUCUGGAUUUUCCGGGGCCAUCCCCGCGAGCCAACCACCCACUACCCACCACCCACCUUUGCCAGCUCACAAAAGGCCCCAUGGAAUUUUCUUUCUGGCAGCAGGGGCGGCUUCGGCUUCAGCUUCGUUAGCAGGUGGCUGUCAAAUUUGGGUCAGGCACUAAGUGCAAGUGAGUGUUAUGUAAAUUAUGGUGCGCUGCUUAAAAGGACCUGCAAGGUCUGCCCCUACCAUCCGUCGUCCCAGUUUAAUUUUUAGGAGUAUUGCGCUGCCUGGUGUUGUGUGUUUGUUUGCAUUCAUCUUGUGAGCAAAUGGAAAACUAACUGAAAAUGGAAAACUGAAAUGGAAAUGCUAACACCACUCCCAUUUGUCAGGCCGUUAGUUAAACUGAACGGCACUCGCUGUCGGCCCUCUCUAUACUUCCUCACUUUUUUGCCCCUUUUUUUUUAUUUUUUUAAUUUAGCCAUUGCUGUUGGCAGCUGACAAAGCGGCAAUGUGUGUGUGUGGAUAUAUGAAUAUGGCGCGUGGUUUGGGGCUCUGGGGCGCUGGGGAGCUGCGAGCGAAUGAUGGAGCUGCCACCACGCACGGCAGCAUGGAAGUCUUAGAAGAAAUGUUAUUCCACUCGCUGGCAACCGCAGAUUAUAUCAUAACACACAUGCCCCAUGGUAUCCCCCAUUCCGUAUUCCGUAUUCCAUAUCCCAUAGCCUCAGAUUCAGAGCCCACUUUGUUCUGCGGAUCGGCCAUUGACCAUGGCGAUGUGCUGCUCCAAAGCAGAACGUAAAUAAAGCACAAUAAUAAGAGGAGUCGCGUAAAAGUGCUCAUACCAAGUACCAACAGUGGCCGACAAAGCAAUAGCAUCAAGUUCUACGCAUAAAGAAUAUAUGAACAGUACUCUUUUCAAUAACUUUUAUUUUAACUCACUUUAUAAAGAUACCUAUUUUAACAUAUAUUAAUUAUUAAAUAAAUGAAUAUGCUGGUAAAGUACAAUACAAUCCGAGCUUAAUAUUAAAGGAUCCUUUCACAGCUGGACCAAAAUUUUGUUUGAGUAACGAAAGUUCUUUGCAGUUCUUUAGCAUUUAUUACAUUAUCUGACCCCCUGGAAGUCCUAACUUUUUGAGAGUUUUCAAAGAAAAGAAGUGCUAACUUUACAGUGCUAUUAUUCUGGCUCUCAUUGUGUUGAUAUAUAUAGCCCAUAGCAGCAGCUCCGCCACUUUCACCCCCUUUCCACGAAUCACGACGCACAGGAAGGGAAGGCGCACACAAGUCAACAAUCUCAUAAUCAGUUGAAUUACAAAAGGCAAACCCAGCAAAUACUGGGGGGAAAUCGCCGAGCGACAAGCCCGCUUGUCUUUUAUGGCAAUUUCACUUAAUGAGUUGGGCCUGUGGGGCAGACCAUCGAUAGACACAUGGCCUGCAAUGCAAGUGCAAGCCUGCAGCAAUUUAACACGCCAAUAAAACGCAAUAACCAAAUUUAUCUGAUUCUGGAGCAAAGGCCAAAAGGGCAACUAACGCCAUGGGCGUGGCAAUUGUGACGCAACAUGGGCGUCGUCGCAAUAAUCUCAUGAUCGUCAUGUCAACAACAAAAGCCAGGAAACCGCCUGCCGGCUUACAAUUACAAUUGCUGACCCAUUUCAGAGGUGAGCUGCUGGGUUGAGGGUGAUCCAAGCUGAACCGAGCGUUGAGCCGACCGAAAACCGUUUGGCCAAUGCAAUGAAUUAAUUAUUCCCUCUGUCAUGUGCAGUCAGUGUCUUUCCCCCUUGGGUGCGUUGAGUCCGGUCCAGCGUUCGCGUUUGGGCCAAAAAUAACAAGCUGCACACACUUGACGCCGGAAAAAAUAUCUCUCAACGAGUUGGGCCUUUGAACUAUUUGUCAUGGGUUUUUUUUCGAUUUAUUUCCCUGCCCGGCUGCAAUGGCCACAAAAAUAGCCGUGUGCACAAAUCUCAUUUUUGGGAGUUGCGCCGUGUGCUCCAUUUGUUGCACCAAAAUAAACGGAAAGUGCCGAAGCUUAGAUGCCCUUUACUUUAUACAGAGCAUGGGAUAAGUGUGGAUCUAUUUCAUAGCAUUAGACAUUAUAAGUGUUCAAUAAUUAAUGUACUUUUCAGCUUUUAAUCAAAGGGUUUUGCUGCAGUUAAUCCUAAGAGUCAAGAUAUUUGAAGGGACCUGACUAAAAUAGCAACAAAACGAAACUCUGAGGAUUAGUAAGAGCUAUAAAUAAUCUUGUACAAAUUUAUUCGGCUGUCAAAUCAGUUUUAGCUUCAACCCCAGAUCCCCCAAAGUCAGAUAAUUAAUGCAAUAUUAUUGUAAUGACUAACUUUAGCAGCUCUUCGCAAUCCGUUUAAUUCUCAGACGCUUUUGAUCGUUUGAUUUCCUCAAUAAAUUCUCAUUCCGUGUGAUUAAUCAAUGACCAAAUCUGCUGCUGCCCUGGGAAAACAAACUGCACGCGAGCAUCGUUCUUCCCCAAAAAAAAAAGGAAAAUAAAGUGUACGAAUUGCUGGAUGAGAACGUAAAUCUCAGGGGUCUCAGCUGGCUGCCCGAUCAAAUUCAAGCGGCUGCGGCUUUUCGCUGGGCCCCUGGAUGCCUUCCAAAAAAAAAAGAUAAAAAAAUUCGUUUAUUGGAGAGGAGAAAAUUUAAUGCGGUCACUGGCUUUUUGACAUGCCGCAAACUAUUUUCAAAUGUGCUCGUAGACGGAGUCGCAUUGCUAUUUCCUACAGAGUAUUCAUUUCGCUUUGGUCAGCGCAUUGGGAGUUUGCUUUUUUGUUAUUUUUAGCGCCGGCUAGAGUGAAGUGUGCCCGGUCCGUGGAGCAUCCUUCAACGUUUCUUAUGUAAAUUUUCCGUCGAUUUUGUGUUAUUUUUUUUUUCAUUAUUUUUUGCUUUUUGUUUGCCAUGCCACCAGAUGACGAUGACGAUGGAGAUGAUGAUGUUGUCGGUUUGUUAGAGUGCGGCUGCUCGGGGGCCAGUUGAAAACUAAUAAAACGUCAAAGCAAUUUUGACAACAUGCAACUUGGAGAUCUUGAGGAGGCACAGAAACACACAAAAACCCACACAAAUCUACGGUUUGUGUUUGGAACAGCCUGUGAAUGCUGCUCUCCGCAAAGCGAAAAGUUACUUCCCAGAAUCAAAUAUUGUUCUCAGUGCAUCCCCUGCGCUUGUCAUGGACUGCGUGAGCUCGGAACAUUAACUGCCAAGGACCUUCCAUUUCCCCGUCAUUCUGCCAAAUGGGAAAAAGUCUCCUAAUAAAAUUAUAAAUGUAUUUGAUGUGCCAGCCGCCCACAGGAA